rnacentral:rRNA from 1 species
UGGGGAAUAUUGCACAAUGGGCGAAAGCCUGAUGCAGCGACGCCGCGUGAGCGAAGAAGUAUUUCGGUAUGUAAAGCUCUAUCAGCAGGGAAGAUAAUGACGGUACCUGACUAAGAAGCACCGGCUAACUCCGUGCCAGCAGCCGCGGUAAUACGGAGGGUGCAAGCGUUAAUCGGAAUAACUGGGCGUAAAGGGCAUGCAGGCGGUUUAUCAAGUAGGAUGUGAAAGCCCCGGGCUCAACCUGGGAAUUGCAUUCUAAACUGAUAGACUAGAGUAUUGCAGGGGGAGACGGAAUUCCAGGUGUAGCGGUGGAAUGCGUAGAUAUCUGGAAGAACACCAAAGGCGAAGGCAGUCUCCUGGGCAAAUACUGACGCUCAUAUGCGAAAGCGUGGGUAGCAAACA